rnacentral:rRNA from 1 species
CGGCGAACGGUCGAGUAACACGUAACCGACCUGCCCUUGGGUCUGGGAUAGCCCACCGAAAGGUGGAUUAAUACCGGAUUGUCUCAUUGAAAUGCAUGUUUUAAUGAGUAAAGAUUUAUCGCCUAAGGAGGGGGUUGCGGCCUAUCAGCUGGUUGGUGAGGUAACGGCUCACCAAGGCGACGACGGGUAGCUGGUCUGAGAGGAUGGUCAGCCGGAUUGGGACUGAGACACGGCCCAAACUCCUACGGGGGGCAGCAAUCAGGAAUCUUGCGCAAUGGGGGCAACCCUGACGCAGCGACGUCGCGUGGAGGAAGACGGCCUUCGGGUUGUAAACUCCUUUUAGUGGGGACGAGCAAGGACGGUACCCACUGAAUAAGCCCCGGCUAACUCCGUGCCAGCAGCCGCGGUAAUACGGAGGGGGCGAGCGUUGUCCGAAUUUAUUGGGCGUAAAGCGCGUGUAGGCGGACUAUUAAGCCUGAGGUGAAAGGUUGGGGCUCAACCCCAUACAGUGCCUUGGGAACUGGCAGUCUGGAGGCAGGCAGAGGAGUGUGGAAUUCCUGGUGUAGCGGUGGAAUGCGUAGAGAUCAGGAAGAACACCCAUGGCGAAGGCAGCACUCUGGGCCUGUACUGACGCUGAGACGCGAAAGCGCGGGGAGCGAACAGGAUUAGAUACCCUGGUAGUCCGCGCCGUAAACGAUGGAUGCUCGGUGUUGGGGGUAUCGACCCCCUCAGCGCCUUAGUUAACACGGUAAGCAUCCCGCCUGGGGAGUACGGCCGCAAGGUUGAAACUCAAAGGAAUUGACGGGGGCCCGCACAAGCGGUGGAGCAUGUUGUUUAAUACGUCACUAACCGUAGAACCUUACCAGGUC